rnacentral:rRNA from 1 species
GAUGAACGCUGGCGGCGUGCCUAAUACAUGCAAGUCGAGCGAACCGACGAGGAGCUUGCUCCUCUGACGUUAGCGGCGGACGGGUGAGUAACACGUGGAUAACCUACCUAUAAGACUGGGAUAACUUCGGGAAACCGGAGCUAAUACCGGAUAAUAUAUUGAACCGCAUGGUUCAAUAGUGAAAGACGGUUUUGCUGUUACUUAUAGAUGGAUCCGCGCCGCAUUAGCUAGUUGGUAAGGUAACGGCUUACCAAGGCAACGAUGCGUAGCCGACCUGAGAGGGUGAUCGGCCACACUGGAACUGAGACACGGUCCAGACUCCUACGGGAGGCAGCAGUAGGGAAUCUUACGCAAUGGGCGAAAGCUUGACGGAGCAACGCCGCGUGAGUGAUGAAGGUCUUCGGAUCGUAAAACUCUGUUAUUAGGGAAGAACAAAUGUGUAAGUAACUAUGCACGUCUUGACGGUACCGAAGCAGAAAGCCACGGCUAACUACGUG